rnacentral:sRNA from 1 species
ACCACCCUAUUGUACAACCAAAGCAAUUAUCCUUUAAAAUUAUUCAGGUAAAUGAUAAUUAAAAUGUUUUUUUCUAUGGCUUCUAAGAAACCAUUGACUAACUUACUAACAACUAAGAUGUCUGUUUGUUUUAUAUGUAGUCAUAAAGCAGAAUUACACAUCAAGAAAGAUAACUUACUAAACAAAAACAACAGAAUUUGUAGGAAGGGGUGAGAAACUGAAACACACAAUUUACUGUCAGCUUUUUAAACAACCGUUAACAUGUCAGUUCUGUUUACUGAUUCUUUCUGAACUUAAUUUCCAAGUAUAUGUAAUUGAUAUUUUGUGAAACUGCUGUAUUUUUUAUAAGUGGACAUUAAAGCCUCUCAUUUGACUGUAUUUAUUAAAUACGUAUAUGUGACAAAUUAUAAACUAUUUGAAUUAUUUGUAUAUUUUCUAUACUUAUUUAGUUUCAUGAAUUUUGAGCACUAAGUUUUUCAUUUUAAUUUUUUACAUGUGACAGUUUCUGAGUGGCACUUUCUCAGACUGGGGUUUGGGAGAGUAGAUCUUACUCUUCAAGCUCAGCUUGACAGUUUAUUUCUAUUAGACUUUAUUUGUGAGGUCAUAUCCAAACUGUUGUGCAUGUAUCAAAACCUCUUUCUUUGGAUGAUCCUGAGGCUAGGAUUACAAGUACAUUCCUUUCAGCCACUGAGUAGAUCAUGAAAGGUUUUGCUGCAUGAGAUGUUGGUCAAAGGACAUAAAAUUUUAGUUGGAAAGUAAGUUCAAGGGAACUAUUAUACAUCAUAGGGGCUACAGUUAAAAACAAUAUUUUGUGUAUAUGAAAAUUGCUAAGAGAGUAGAUUUUAUUCACACCACAAAAAAAAAUGAUAUGUGUUAAAGAACUUGAUUUAGCCAUUCCACAUUGUAUAUACAUAUAUCAAAACAUCGUGUUGUGUACCAUAAAUAGAUAGGUUUUUACUUAUCAAUUUAAAAAAGGUCUUGCAAAAUUCAAAAAAAUCAACUAGAGGAAUGUAUAGCACAAAGCAGCGGAUAUAUUGAAUUAUAAUGAGGAACAUCAGUAUUCUAAGUAAUUGGCCUUUCUAGAUGUUUCUUGGUAGUCUGUAGCAUUGAUACACUUGAAGUUAUUAAAACUGCACUAAAACUUUUUGAGAUUCACUUUACAUAUACACACAAAUAUAUUUUUCUUUACAUUUUGAAUUUGGAGUAAAAUCUAGUUUUAUGUUUGCUUGAAACGACAUAUAUAAUGGAGAUAAUAAAAUAACUUUUUUUCAUUUAGACUGAUCUCACAAUGCUGAAAUUAGCAGCAUUAGAAAGUAAUAAAAUCCAGGACCUGGAAAAGAAGGAGGGACGUAUAGAUGAUUUGCUCAGGGCUAACUGUGAUCUCAGACGGCAAAUAGAUGAACAACAAAAAUUACUUGAAAAAUACAAAGAACGAUUAAAUAAGUGCAUAUCAAUGAGCAAGAAACUUCUUAUUGAAAAGAGUACACAAGAAAAACUGUCAAGCAGAGAGAAGAGUAUGCAAGAUCGAUUACGCCUCGGGCACUUUACAACAGUUAGACAUGGCGCUUCAUUUACUGAACAAUGGACAGAUGGUUUUGCAUUUCAGAAUCUUGUGAAGCAACAAGAAUGGGUGAAUCAGCAAAGGGAAGAUAUUGAAAGGCAAAGGAAACUUCUAGCCAAACGCAAACCUCCCACAGCUAAUAAUUCUCAGGCACCCUCUACCAAUUCUGAACCAAAACAAAGGAAAAACAAAGCAGUCAAUGGAGCAGAGAAUGAUCCCUUUGUUAGACCAAAUUUACCACAACUGUAAGCCUCCAUUUAAAAUUUUUCUUUUUUAAAAUUGUUGCCAGUGAGCGUGAAUGUUACUAAUGGAUGUUAUUUAUAAUUAAUACUUAGAUAGCAAAAAUGAUUAAGACCAGGAAGGAAGGCAGUAUUGAAAAUUAGCUCUAAAUUAAUAGCCCCAAAUAUCUGAAUUCUACCGUUUUAAGCAGAGAUUUAACAAUUCUCUUUUAAAACAGAGACCUAGGUAGCUAAGAGGUUACCAGAAUUCACCCUUCUGUGUCUGAAUCAGUUAGGAAUCAAUUAAAAGUUUUGGAUUAUUCUAAUUCAACGUUUCCAUUCACAUUCCUUUGUCUGAGAGAAUGAAGUAAUGUAACUACCAUUUAUAUGUUUUCUCAACCUGUGAAAGCAGUUCAUUAGUGGGUUAUAGGUAUUGUUUUUCCCUUUCUGCUUUUCUUUGUUUUCUGGAUUUUCUUUGUUAAUGAAUUAUUCUUUAUAAUUUAAAGGACAAAGACGUUUUUUAAAAGAAAAUUUGGAAAAUAGGACAAGAAUAAUAAUAUAGACCAUGAUCCCAUUUCACAGAGAACACCAUUGUUAAAAUUUCAAUAUACAGAUGUAUCCAAACUUAUAUAAAUUUUCUGUUCUAGAAGAACUUACAUAAACUCACGUGAGUAGAAAAUACAUAGACCGGGCACAGUGGCUCAUGCCUGUAAUCCCAGCACUUUGGGAGGCCAAAGUGGGUGGAUCACGUGAGGUCAGGAAUUUGAGACCAGCCUGGCCAACAUGGUGAAACCCUGUCUCUACUGAAAAUACAAAAAUUAGCUGGGCAUUGUGUCAGGCACUUGUAAUUCCGGCUACGCAGGAGGCUGAGGCAGGAGAAUUGCUUGAACUUGAGAGGCGGAGGUUGCAGGGAGCCAAGAUCGUGCCAUUGCACUUUAGCCUGGGGGACAAGAGUAAGACUGUCUCAAAAAAAAAAAA